UAUUCAAAUAGUUUAAUUUAAAAUUUUAGUUUGUGAUACUAAAGAUAUAAUAAUUUAUUUUGGAUAA
rnacentral:tRNA from 1 species